UACGUAGGGUCCGAGCGUUGUCCGGAAUUACUGGGCGUAAAGCGCUCGCAGGUGGUUCGUCGCGUCGUGCGUGAAAGACCCCGGCUCAACUGGGGAGUGUCGUGCGAUACGGGCGGACUGGAGGCCAGUAGGGGGAUGCGGAAUUCCGGGUGUAGUGGUGGAAUGCGUAGAGAUCCGGAGGAACACCAGCGGCGAAGGCGGCAUCCUGGGCUGGUCCUGACACUCAUGAGCGAAAGCGUGGGGAGCGAUCCGG
rnacentral:rRNA from 1 species